GAGGAUAUAGCUCAGUGGUAGAGCUCAUGCUUAGCUCACACAAGCUCCUGGGUUCAAUCCCCAGUACCUCCU
rnacentral:tRNA from 1 species